UACGAAGGGGGGCUAGCGUUGCUCGGAAUCACUGGGCGUAAAGCGCACGUAGGCGGAUUGCUAAGUCAGGGGUGAAAUCCUGGAGCUCAACUCCAGAACUGCCCUUGAUACUGGCGGUCUCGAGUCCGGGAGAGGUGAGUGGAACUGGCGAAGUGUAGAGGUGAAAUUCGUAGAUAUUCGCAAGAACACCAGUGGCGAAGGCGGCUCACUGGCCCGGGUAC
rnacentral:rRNA from 1 species